CAAUGCAUCUCUAAUUAGGUUUCACAGAAAACCCCCCGCCUUCUCCUACCUUCAGCCGCUGACAUCAAGAAAAUCCUCCCACCUACCUUAUUCGAUCUUAUUUUUAUCAACUAUCAACGAUCCUCCCACCGUAUUCGAUCUUCAUGUCGCCCUUAUUUGUCUUCUAUCUUGAAGAUUCAGAUUGACAAAGAAACUUGAAGAUUCGGAUUGUAUUUUUUCGUGAUGAUGAUGAAUCGGAGAUUCCGAUUAAACCCUUAUUUUUUCGUGAUGAUGAUGAAUCGAAGAUUCGGAUUGUACAGGAACUUGAUGGUAGAAACAUCUGAGUUAGUGUUGUUGAAGCCCCCAUAGAGGCGUCUGUUUUAAAGUAGAAGAAUUUGAGUAUGGUGACUGCUAUUGCAGUGAUGACAAGAACACAUUUUGGAGAGUUUCCAGUUUUGAUUUCAUAUACACGUAUGUAGUCUGACAGUGGUAUCGUGGCAUCAUCGUUUCAAAAUAGAUGAAAGAGAUAAAGAGAGAGAGAAAGAGACAAAGAACUAGAAAGGGAGAGAGAGAGAGAGAGAGAGAGAGGGGGGGAAGUAGAGAAGGUAGUGUGAUCAACCGAUCUUAGCCCGAGUGUCACCGUCGGCGACAACAUGGUUUGGGGUCGUUAUGCAGAGCUCCAACGAGGUGUUUGAGGGUCUACAGAUCUAAAACUUUUCUAAGGCAACCAAUCCAUCACUCACGACGUGGAAGAAUGACCUGUGGAUGCAUGUCCAUCGUCAAAGAAGAAGAGCAAACUGUUUGUGUGGCGAGGAAGAACCAUCGACAACUGUAUUUCUUCACCAUAUACCCUGGGCCACUGGAUCUGAAACUUAACCACCCGAUUGUGAGUUUAUAUAGACAUGUGUUAUCUCACCAGGUUUGGUUGUUCAAAAACCUCAAUCGUCUCGCUCUCGUUGGGUUUGGUUCUUGAUUUUAAUAUACUUUUCAUUUUUUAUGACAAAACUUUUCAUUUGAAUCUGAAAUAUAUUUUUCAUUUUUUAUAACAAGACUUUUCAUUUGAAUCUGAGUUUUUUUGUACAAUAUUUGAAAUGAAUUGCCCUCACAUAACUUAAACUUGGUUAUUCUUUUCAAUCAUGACCGAUAUGGUUUGUUCUAUUUUUAGGUCUAUGAAUUAAUGCAGAAGUAGGUAGAGACUAAACGCACGGAGUUAGUAGUGAAGAUGGUGAUUUUAAAGCAAUACACUAAACCCUAUAGUCUUUGUAUCUCAAUACUUUGCGCUAUGUUUAUGCGUUUUUAACACAAAUUUUUGCAACUUUUAUCAUGGGUUUAUGUAAUUAAUUGAAUCUUGAGUUGAGUUUUUUGUUAAUUUUGCUAAUGGGCACUGGGCGGGGGCUUGGAUAUGGGUUGGGAUUGUAGCUGGGUUGCAGAAUAUGAAAGCCGGAUCACCCAUGCGGGCUCAAGUUGCGGCUGAAUGGGUUCUAUAUAAAGAACUCAACUGAUCACUUUUGGAAUUUAGUUUAGAUAUUUGUUUUUCAACUCAUUUGUUUCUCUUUCUAGGGUUUCAUAUUAAGACUCGAGAUUUAGUGCUUGUUUGAUCUAUUCAUGUUAUAGAUAUCUGUCACCUGCUAGAUCUGAUUUACCAAGUUUUGAGAAAGAGUGGUGUUAUCUAAACGACAAGCUUAAGGAAGACAUGUUAUAUUUAUA